AUAACAACCUGGCAGGGGAGAUACUAUAAUCAAGAAGGUGGUUUUUCCUCCAAAUGAGGCUUAUCCCGUGCACACAGCUGUGCUGACCCCUGGGAUUUUCUCAAAUGUGGGAAACCAGAUAGCAUAAUUUGUGGUAGGGAAAGGAAACAUUAA
rnacentral:snRNA from 1 species